CUAGAUUUAGCAUAUUUUAAAAUGAAAUAGCUUGAAAAAUACUUGAAAUGCAUAUAGCUUAAAAUCUGGCUUAUUUCAAUUUUCAUUUAGCUAAUUUCGGCUUAAAAAAAUUUAUAACAAAAAAUUUUUUGUUUUUCGAUUGUAUUAUAAUUUUUGGUAAUUUUUAUCGAUAAUUUGGACAAAAGUCAUAUUUUUUGUUGGUAUUUUAAUAAUAAUCGUUAGGAAGUUUCGGUCACACUGAAAUUUUGCACAUGUUUGUUUUGCGUUUGUUGUUGCGUAGUUUAAGAAACAUGCCGAAAGUGACUUACAAGCAAAAUUUCCGCGAUUCAUGGUUAAAUUUUGAAGAAUUUAAGCAGUGGCUACGCAAAGAAGGAAAUCAAAGACGAAAAAUAUUUUGAUGAAAAAUAUAAAAUCAGAGAAGAUUGUAAAAACUUCAUCAAGGCUUUAAUUAUUCAACUAAGGGAGAGACUUCCUGAUAACAUUGAAGUACUAAAACAAAUGGAUAUUUUCGCCGUUGGCAAUAUGCUACAAGCAAAUAAAACGCCAGAUAAAAUUAUUUCGUUGUUGGAACAUUUCAAAUAUGAAAAUAUUGAUGAAAUAGUAUCCCAAUUUGGAAAAAUCCACCUUAUUAAUUGGGAAAAAAAGGAAAUAACUAUAGAGUUUUGGUCAGAAGUUUUGAUGUAUAAGGAUGCUGGCCAAAACAAAGCUUUCGAGCAACUGGCGUUAUAUGCUUUGCACAUUCUUUCACUGCCAUGGUCGAAUGCUGCGCUUGAGAGGGUAUUCAGCCAAAUAAACAUGGUCAAAACAAAGUUGCGCAACAAAAUGAAUUUAAAAAGCUUGAACGCAAUUUUAAGAAUAAGAUAUGGACUGCGACGUCAUGGCAAAUGUUGCCUUGACUACAUACUUCCAACGAAAUACCUCGCUUUAGUCAGCUCAUCCGCUAAAUAUAUGGAAUCGAAUGAUGAAGUCGAUGAAAUUAUUUCUUUGCUCUAAUAGCUAUAUAAAUAUAAUAUCAAUAAAAGUAAAAAAUCAA